GGAAAAACAGGAAAGGGGUGUGAUCUAAUAAACAAGUAAGUUGACAGCCUCACUAGAUAUCCUGAAAGAUAGUGGACAGACUGAGUUCAUAGGGAACCCUAUCGUGAACGUUGUCUCAUACCGGACGGGGUAUGGAGACUUGGUAAUUUAGCGCUCAUACCGGAUGGAGUAUGGGGACGACCCAUUUCACCCUCAUACCAGACGGGAUAUUGAGGUUUAAUGUCUUGGCGCUCAUAUCGGACAGCGUAUGGGGACGGCUCUGUAAUUAAGUUUGUUAAGGAAAAUGGUUCACGUAU
rnacentral:lncRNA from 1 species